rnacentral:lncRNA from 1 species
GAAUGAUGGAUCUGAAACGUUGUUAUUUUAUUGGAUUUAAAACACAUGCAAAUAACCUCAGGCAUUUACCUGGAGAUUAACUAUGAAAUAUAAACAUAAAUAUGGGAAAUUGGUAAAUAAAACACACUAAGAAACUAUCUGAAAGAAAACGUGCAGGCUGGAUAUGGAAGCACAUUCUCCUUCGCAGCUUAUUUUAUUCUUCUCGUUCUUCCAUCGCUUUCACAUCUACUCUCUUAUGCAGAACAUUCUUCUUACCUGCAAGAAUACAUUUACUUUCCGUCGUUAGGAUUAAGUAAUUAUUAAUGUUCUAACUUAAUUAUAAGUUGGUGAAAAUAAUUUUUUCAGAAAUUGGAAAUCUAAAUAGUGUUUUCUGAAAAUCAUUAAAAUGCACCUUGGAAAUCUGGUUGCAGGUUCUUAGUAGUGAUGAGGAGGAGGAGGAGGAGAACUGUAGUAGUAAUGGUGGGGUGGUGGGUAGUGGACUGGAGGUGGUGGUGGGGGAGACUUGUAGACGUAUGGCUUCUUGUGAGGUGGUGGUGGUGGAGGGGACUUGUAAACGUAUGGCUUCUUGGGUGGUGGUGGAGGGGACUUGUAGACGUAUGGCUUCUUGGGUGGUGGUGGAGGGGACUUGUAGACGUAUGGCUUCUUGGGUGGUGGUGGAGGGGACUUGUAGACGUAUGGCUUCUUGGGUGGUGGUGGAGGGGACUUGUAGACGUAUGGCUUCUUGGGUGGUGGUGGAGGGGACUUGUAGACGUAUGGCUUCUUGGGUGGUGGUGGAGGGGACUUGUAGACGUAUGGCUUCUUGGGUGGUGGUGGAGGGGACUUGUAGACGUAUGGCUUCUUGGGUGGUGGUGGAGGGGACUUGUAGACGUAUGGCUUCUUGGGUGGUGGUGGAGGGGACUUGUAGACGUAUGGCUUCUUGGGUGGUGGUGGAGGGGACUUGUGGACGUAUGGCUUCUUGUGAGGUGGUGGUGGUGGAGGGGACUUGUAGACGUAUGGCUUCUUGGGUGGUGGUGGAGGGGACUUGUAGACGUAUGGCUUCUUGGGUGGUGGUGGAGGGGACUUGUAGACGUAUGGCUUCUUGGGUGGUGGUGGAGGGGA